UUCCAGCUCGCUCCGUUAGUGGUGAAGGCUAACGCUAGCGAUGCUAAUGCUAAAUAUAAGCCGAUAGUUGUCGCACAUGCGCAACGGUAACGAUUGGUUAUGGCAGAUCCAAUAGUUUUAAACUUCAACAGAGUACCCGCCUUCAAGGAAGUUAACACUUGUCAAUGGAGAGAGGCCAGACUCUCUGGACACAUGAAAUGUACCAGAGUCUGGUAAGACCAGGCUAAGGUGUGAAAGCCCUUUAGCCCUUUUUUUUUUUUUUUUUUUAAACGACAUACUUUAUGUAGGAACAAAUGUUUAGAUAGGUUUCAGAAAUUAGUUAUCUUCAUUUCAAAAAGAGCCAUUCAGCAGUCCUCCUACCUCUCCCAUGGCAUUAGACAGAAUCUGAACAAUCUUCUCGUGAGGCGUCGCCACGACGCUCUGGCUGUUGAUGUCGAUGAUGCGGUGACCGACGCGGACGCCCCCCCUCUCAGCGAUGCCUCCCCUCAUCAGGCUGCAGAUCUGUUAAAAACACAGAGAGGACUCAAACUGACAGCCGUGGCAGAGGAUGAGAUAUAUUUAAGCAAAAACUGGAAAGAGGGCAGCAGCGUUGCCACGGUGAUCAGCGGCCAUACUCACGAUGCCAUUCUGGACGCUGAAGCCCAGCUGGUAUCGGAGGUCCGGCCUGCGGAUGAGCACCAUGGUGACGGGAGGACACCGGACGAUGUUCAUCUUGAUCCUGCACUGAGUCUUGAGACCCUGAGGGAACAGAGUCUGGUUAGCUACAGCAGACGGACACCCCAAAGGAAUGGGAGGAACAAGUAUUGAACUGAGAGCAGCGGCGUACCUUGAUGAUGCUCUGGCAGGUGCUAAGCGGUAAACCCACCAGACUCGUCCCGUUGAUGGUCAUGAUCUGGUCUCCGAUGUUGAGUCGACCGGACUUCUUGGCCGGACCAGCAUGCAUCAUGCUGGCGAUGAUGACGGUGGGGAGGAUGGACCCCCAGCCCGACUCCACUAUCACCACACCCAGGAUCUCGCCUUUCUGCUUCUCAAUGUAAACCUGCAGGGAACCACGCACAGAUUCGCUUCCACAACUGUCCAAAGACUCCAAAUAUUCAUUUGGAACGGUUUAUGCGAACAGGCUUUCCUAUUGCUGGAGAAACUAUGGAAACACAAGGGUUCUCCAAUGUUUUCUCAGUUAACCUUUUAAAAUGAUUUCAGAUUAGUAAACAG